UUAGCCCAGCAGCUAGCAGCGUUUUAGCGAGCGAUAUUAAGACUCAAACGAGUAAAAGUAACGGCAAAUGUAACAUUAUAAUACCAAGACCCAUUGCUACGCAAAAAACACGUUACAAAUGGGUCGGUGAUUUGCCUGACAAAUUAACUCACAUCCAGCGGUGAGCUUUUAUCCAAGCAAAGCUAGCUGUGUGUAGGCCCGAGCAUAGCGGCUGUCGGACCGACCCGUCCGCCGUGAGUCUGACCGAGAGGGAAAGCUCUGCUGCGGCCAGCUGAGCGGGUAGAAGACACCCAAAGAGAACAGCCGGUAGAGGCAGGGGGUAUUCCAUGAGAGCGGCCAUUUAAGAAACACAAGGUGUCAGUGCAGCACUGUGCCUGGUAAAUAAGAAGAGAAGAACGUCACGUGAUUCUCACGCAAGCGUUGGCUUGACAACCACCGUAAUCUCUUCCUGUUGCUAAAAGCAAGCCACAAGAAGACACAAUGCCAGAAGUCAAGUCAAUAUUCAGAGAAGUUCUGCCUAAACAAGGGCAACUUUCCAUGGAAGAUGUGCCUACCAUGGUUUUGUGUAAGCCAAAGCUGCUCCCACUCAAAUCAGUCACACUGGAGAAACUGGAGAAGAUGCAGAUGGAGGCUCAAAAGGCCGUCAAGCUGCAGGAACUGGCAAUGAAGGAGCAGAAUCAGUAGAUGACUGAUUGGAGGACUCAUAACAACAUGAAUGGUCAAACUGGCAGGAAGUCCCUUCAGAUGGAUGGCACAAACCCAGAUUUUUACGCACGGGAAGAAAAUGUUUUUGUUAGAACAGUCAAAAUAUCAAGAAAUGUGUGAUGUUUGGCUUCACAGAGAUAAGCUUAGAAGGGAGUAGCAACCUGAGCUUAAAAACUCCUUCACUCUUUGAAGGUCUAAAUGUUUUAUUGUUGAUUGAUCUUCUGCAUGUCACCGUUAAGGAUUACAUCUAUCGCUUGCCAGUGUGGUUGGCUAUUAAGACCUGUGCGCUUCAUGAGAUUUUCCAUGUGUAUUACUGCAUCUGUGAUUUGACAUUAACAAGAGAACAUCAGUUAAAAGCUUCCUUAUCGAGUGAAUGUAGAGCAGUUUAUUUGUCAGAUCAUAGAAUAAAGUUGUAAUACUUGUUUAUAGUGUGUCAAUUACAAAUACAGCCAUGGGUUGUUGAAUAGUGAUUUAAUGAACAAACAAGGAGCAAUACGUGGUACAUUUCACUCCCCAGUAUUCCCUAGGUAUAAAAAUAAACACUCUAAAACACAA